rnacentral:rRNA from 1 species
GGCGAGUGGCGAACGGGUGAGUAAUACAUCGGAACAUGUCCUGUAGUGGGGGAUAGCCCGGCGAAAGCCGGAUUAAUACCGCAUACGAUCUACGGAUGAAAGCGGGGGACCUUCGGGCCUCGCGCUAUAGGGUUGGCCGAUGGCUGAUUAGCUAGUUGGUGGGGUAAAGGCCCACCAAGGCGACGAUCAGUAGCUGGUCUGAGAGGACGACCAGCCACACUGGGACUGAGACACGGCCCAGACUCCUACGGGAGGCAGCAGUGGGGAAUUUUGGACAAUGGGCGAAAGCCUGAUCCAGCAAUGCCGCGUGUGUGAAGAAGGCCUUCGGGUUGUAAAGCACUUUUGUCCGGAAAGAAAUCCUGAGGGCUAAUAUCCUUCGGGGAUGACGGUACCGGAAGAAUAAGCACCGGCUAACUACGUGCCAGCAGCCGCGGUAAUACGUAGGGUGCGAGCGUUAAUCGGAAUUACUGGGCGUAAAGCGUGCGCAGGCGGUUUGUUAAGACCGAUGUGAAAUCCCCGGGCUCAACCUGGGAACUGCAUUGGUGACUGGCAAGCUAGAGUAUGGCAGAGGGGGGUAGAAUUCCACGUGUAGCAGUGAAAUGCGUAGAGAUGUGGAGGAAUACCGAUGGCGA